CACGUAGGGGGCGAGCGUUGUCCGGAAUUACUGGGCGUAAAGGGCGCGUAGGCGGCGAUUUAAGUCUGAUGUGAGACCCCUGGGCUUAACCUAGGGCUUGCAUUAGAAACUGAAUGGCUUGAGGGCAGGAGAGGAAAGCGGAAUUCCCAGUGUAGCGGUGAAAUGCGUAGAUAUUGGGAGGAACACCAGUGGCGAAGGCGGCUUUCUGGACUGAACCUGACGCUGAGGCGCGAAAGCCAGGGUAGCGAACGGGAUUAGAUACCCCGGUAGUCCUGGCCGUAAACGAUGGAUACUAGGUGUGGGAGGUAUCGACCCCUUCCGUGCCGCAGCCAACGCACUAAGUAUCCCGCCUGGGGAGUACGGCCGCAAGGCUGAA
rnacentral:rRNA from 1 species